UACGUAGGUGGCAAGCGUUGUCCGGAUUUACUGGGCGUAAAGAGCGCGCAGGCGGUUGUGCAAGUCGCGUGUGAAAGCCCCCGGCUCAACUGGGGAGGGUCACGCGAUACUGUUCGACUUGAAGGCAGGAGAGGGAAGUGGAAUUCCCGGUGUAGUGGUGAAAUGCGUAGAUAUCGGGAGGAACACCAGUGGCGAAGGCGACUUCCUGGCCUGUUCUUGACGCUGAGGCGCGAAAGCUAGGGGAGCAAACGGGAUUAAGAUG
rnacentral:rRNA from 1 species